AGCGAACGCUGGCGGCAGGCUUAACACAUGCAAGUCGAGCGGGCACUUUCGGGUGUCAGCGGCGGACGGGUGAGUAACGCGGGGGAACGUGCCCUCUGGUUCGGAAUAACUCAGGGGAACUUGAGCUAAUACCGGAUACGCCCUUUUGGGGAAAGGCUUGCUGCCGGAGGAUCGGCCCGCGUCUGAUUAGCUAGUUGGUGAGGUAACGGCUCACCAAGGCGACGAUCAGUAGCUGGUCUGAGAGGAUGAUCAGCCACACCGGGACUGAGACACGGCCCAGACUCCUACGGGAGGCAGCAGUGGGGAAUAUUGGACAAUGGGCGCAAGCCUGAUCCAGCCAUGCCGCGUGAGUGAUGAAGGCCUUAGGGUUGUAAAGCUCUUUUAUCCGGGACGAUAAUGACGGUACCGGAGGAAUAAGCCCCGGCUAACUUCGUG
rnacentral:rRNA from 1 species